CCCAAACCCAGAACGCUGACCCCGUUGGGCCCUCCCCACACCAGGCCCCCCGGGUUCCCGAGUUUCUCGCACCUUGUGGGCCCCGCGGAUGGCGGUGAUGCAGGCGGGGUCCACGAGGGGCUUGGGGCGCCGGGCCGACUCCUCGAGCAGCCCCUGCCACUGGCGGGGCAGCCCCGUGAAGCGCUGCUCCGAGGGGUCGUAGCCCGUGUGCACCCGGUGCUCGAAGUUGGACGGCGCCGAGAUCUCCACGCGCUUCUUCUUCUUGGAGAACAUGGCCCGGGCUGUGCUCCUGGAUUGGGGAAAAAAAUUCGGGUUUAGGGAGUGGGAAAUGGGGCUGGCAGCAGGAAUCCAGCUCUGGGAAUGGCCCGGGCUGUGCUCCUGGGAUGGGGAGAAAAUUCGGGUUUAGGGGGUGGGAAAUGGGGGUGGCAGCAGGAAUGGUGUUAGACCCCAAAAUCCAGCCCUGGGAACAAAAUCCAGCCCUGGGAAUGGGAAUGGUCCCCGAAAUCCAGCCCUGGAAAUGGGAGUGGUCCCCAAAAUCCAUCCCUGGGAAUGGGAAUGGUCCCCAAAAUCCAUCCCUGGGAAUGGUCCCCAAAAUCCAGCCCUGGGAAUGGGAAUGGUCCCUGAAAUCCAGCCCUGGGAAUGGGAAUGGUCCCCAAAAUCCAGCCCUGGGAACGGGAUCAGCCCCGAAAAUCCCGCUGCUGGAAUGGUUUUUAUCCAUCCACCAACCACUUCUAUCCAAAAUCCCCCCCUUUUAUCCAAUCGCUUCCCAUUUCUCCCCCAAAUCCAAGCUUGGAAGCACCAUAAAUUCCCACUUGGAAAUGGGAUUAAUCCAUUAACCCAACCUGAACCAACAAAGAGAUUUAAAGCACCUGAAAAAGCCACAAAAAAUCUGCUUUUUUUGGGAUCCCAGUGCCAGGAUCAGCGCUCUGGGGCACCAUGUGAGGGUUUGAUUUCAUUCCCUGUUUUUCCAUGUUUUUCCUGCACUUUCCAGGCCAAGAACGAGCUCAGCUGGGAGGGUUUUGGGCCUGUGAUCCCCGUGGGGGCACGAAUCCCACUGGGAAUGGCCCCAAAAUCCCACGGAUCCUGGGCAGGUCUGUUUUUCCCACUUUCACUGCUUUUCCUGGUGCCGAUUUCCCCGUUUCCUCCCAGUUUUUCCCAUUUUCCAGGCUCCAGAAUCCUGCUGCUUCCAAGGUUUUGUCACUGUUUUUUCCCAAUCUUUGAGGAUUUCUCCUUAAAACAGUGAUCCACCACAGAGUUUUCCUUCUCCUCCUCCUCCACUUCGACCCCAGCCAAAAGCUGUCAGAAUUCUGUGUUUUCUCUGUUUUCCCUGCUCAUCCCAGGCUGAUCCCUCCUUCCACCUUCCUGGGAAUCCUCUGGGGUUUGCCAAAAUCUCAUUUUCUGACGGAAAACUCUCCUGGUUUGGGGAAAUUGCAGCUGAGCUCGGGGUGGGAGGAUUAAAAUCUGCUGCCAGAAAAUUAAAAUUUGGGUUUUUCUCCAUGGGAAACAUCCGAGGGUGAACCAGCUCAGCCGGGAUGAGGUGCAGCACCCGUCACCUCUGGACACCAAAUCCACGGGAUUUCACCCCAAAACCUCUCUUUUUUUCCAGAUGGUUGUGGAAAUGUGGCGGCGCUUGGCAGGGGCAGAGGGGUCCUGAGGAAUUCCAGAGGGUGGGAUGGGGCCGGGAGGGGGUGAAGUUGUUCCUCAGCCAUUCCCAGGCCGCAUUCCUGGGAUCCCAGCGGCGCUUAAUUAGUCACCAAUUAACGAGGAACUGAACCUGCACCGGGCGGGAAUAACCUCCUGUUUUCCUUAAAAUUCCCAACAAAAUCCCACAAACUCCCCCUAUAAAUCAGCGGCAGUCAGGCUGUGUCCUGGUGGGAAUUGUACUCCCCACAAAGGGGUCAGAAUUCCUGGGAAAGCCGGGCUGGGAAGGGGCUGGAAUCCUGGGAAGGGGCUGAAAUCCUGGAAUUCCCACAAUUUGUCACAAUUCCCGGGAAAGCCAGGCCAGGAAUUCAGGAAUUCCCAGCGAGGGGUCAGAAUUGCAGGGAAAGCCAGGCCGGGGCCGGGGCGGGUUGGACUGGCCGGGCUGGAUCUGCAGGAGGAGGAGGAGGAGGAGGAGCAGCGCCGGCCUUUGCUCCGGAGGAAUCACGGAAUUCCAGGAAUCCGGAGCCUCCGAAGCUCAGGGGAACGGGGAAAAAAAAAUAAAUUAAAAAAAAAAAAUCCGGGAAGGGAACCA
ensembl:lncRNA